rnacentral:lncRNA from 1 species
GAUUUAAGGCACCAAAAUAUAGAGUUAAAAAAACGACAUAAAAAAAUGAAUUCUGAAAUUCAAAAGGUUGUAGGGGUAUCAAUUUUAAAAUAGACCACAUCCAUUAAGUCUGGAAGAAAUCACUUCUUUUAAAAAUCAGGAAGUACAGGAGGGAGGAAUCAAGAUAACCUAAUGUCAACCAACUACUGAAGUUAUCUUGGGCAUUGUCACCUUUUGGAUGUGUUCAAACAAGCUUCAAAAUUCAAUAGUGUCCUAAAGUACAACACACCAAAAAAAAAAUUAUAGGUAUCAACAUAAAAAUGUGUCAUACUGAAAAAAGGGCAGGCAUUAUUCUGUUUUCUGUUUGCAAC